rnacentral:lncRNA from 1 species
UGUGUGUGUGUGUUUGCGUGCACUUCCAUGAGCUGAGGCUAGGGGGCGCUCUGUGGCCAGGCUGGAGCGGUUGCUGCUGCUGCUGCUGCUGCUGCUGUGUGUGUGUGUGUGUGUGUGUCUGACGGACGGGCGGCUGGCUGGGCGAGUCACAUGGGGAGACAGAGCCAGUUUAAAAGUGUGUGUGUGUGCCCUGACCAGAGCAGAAGGAGCCUAGCCAGCGCUCCAGGCACAGCGAGAGAGAGAGAGAGAGAGAGACACACACACACACGCCGACAGCCUGACAGCGCAACUCUCACACACACACGCACGCACGCGACGCAGACGUAUGCAGACGCGCACACACAUACACUCCUCACACGCACAUAUAUAGACACAGACACACACAGAGACGGUGUGCAGAGAGCGAGAGAGCGAGAGCGAGAGAGCGAGAGAGACGCGUGCACACACACACGCUCUGCUUCUGGAGAGGACUCCUCACACACACAGAGAGAGCGAGAGAGAGUAAGAGAGAGGAGCAAGGAAAAGCUUUUAACCAGCCAUCCAGAUUGUAAUAGGUCACGCACAAGGAUACAGAAUACAUCCAGGAAAAGGUCUUCAGCCAGCCCGGCUCUCAGCCAAUGGCAGGGCUCCAGAGGAUGACAUCACCACAGCUGAGGAGAGAUGGGGAGAGAAGGCAUGCUCUCUCCUCCACCUUCUGUGCUCUUUGCCAAGAAGCGCUAUCUUCUUUUAAAAAGUGUGUCACAUUAUAUUAUAUAACGCCACCAGGAAAACAGCUAAAAGGUCUGUGAGAUCUAGAUAGAUAGAUAGAUAGAUAGAUAGAUAGAUAGAUAGAUAGAUGGAUACUUUAUUAAUCCCGAAGGAAAUUUAGGUCAUCCAGUAGCUUAUACACUUAACUUAACUCACAAUCUGACACGUUUUGGGCCACGGAGCGUCUCGAAGGUGGUUACUAUAAAGUGUGUGUUUUGUUCAAGGCAUCAGUCACAGGAGACAGAGGGGACAACAGGAGGAUCUGCUGGAAAUGUCAGGCCA